ACUCCUACGGGAGGCAGCAGUGGGGAAUUUUGGACAAUGGGCGAAAGCCUGAUCCAGCCAUGCCGCGUGAGUGAAGAAGGCCUUCGGGUUGUAAAGCUCUUUCAGCCGGAAAGAAAUCGCGCAGGCUAAUACUCUGCGUGGAUGACGGUACCGGAAGAAGAAGCACCGGCUAACUACGUGCCAGCAGCCGCGGUAAUACGGAGGGUGCAAGCGU
rnacentral:rRNA from 1 species